rnacentral:rRNA from 1 species
ACAAUGUGUGACUCUUUAUGGGUUAUGCAAUUGGAAUGACUACAAUUUAAAGAGUUUAAGAAGGAUCAAUUGGAGGGCAAGUCUGGUGCCAGCAGCCGCGGUAAUUCCAGCUCCAAUAGGAUAUAUCAAAGUUGUUGCAGUUAAAAAGCUCGUAGUUGAAUUUCUGGAAGGUAGAAGUGUUUUUUUUAGAGAAGCAAUUUUUUAUUGAAAACACCGCUUUCCAUUUUGUGGAUUUCUGUUUUGUAUGAGAUAGUUUACUCUAUUUUUAUAUAAAAUACCACUCCGUCACUGAGAGCAAAUUGGAGUGCUCAAAGCAGGCUUUAUUAGCUUUGAACAUUUUAGCUUGGAAUGACAAGAUAUGACUUUUGUUUUAUUUUGUUGGUUAUGAAAUAAAAGUAAUGAUUAACAGGAACAGUUGCGGGGGUACUCGUAUUGAAAGGUCAGAGGUGAAAUUCUUGGAUUCUUUCAAGACGAACGACUGCGAAAGCAUUUACCAAGGAUGUUUUCAUUAAUCAAGAACGAAAGCUCGGGGAUCGAAGAUGAUUAGAUACCAUCGUAGUCCGACGCCAUAAACGAUGCCGACUCGGGAUUAUUUUGUUUGUUUAAAAUAAAAAAGAACACAAAGUAGCACCGUAUGAGAAAUCAAAGUCUUUGGGUUCCGGGGGGAGUAUGGUCGCAAGGCUGAAACUUAAAGGAAUUGACGGAAGGGCACACCAGAGGUGGAGCCUGCGGUUUAAUUUGACCCAACACGGGGAAACUUACCAGGUCCAGACAUGAUGAGGAUUGACAGUUUGAAAGCACUUUCUUGAUUUCAUGGGUGGUGGUGCAUGGCCGUUCUUAGUUGGUGGAGUGAUUUGUCUGGUUGAUUCCGAUAACGAACGAGACGGGGUGAAUUUACUAGUUUGUUAUAUAAUUUACGUUAUAUAAGACUUCUUUAUUCGACAACUUGGUUUUACCAAGAGGAAGCGCCCCGCAAUAACAGGUCUGUGAUGCCCUUAGAUGUUCUGGGCUACACCGCGCUACAAUGACGAAUUCAACGAGUUUAAAAUUCAUUCCUUAUCCGGAAGGAUGUGGGUAAUCUUUUCAAUAUUCGUCGUGAUGGGGCUAGAUUUUUGCAAUUAUUAAUCUUCAACGAGGAAUCUCUAGUAUGUGCAAGUCAUCAGCUUGCGCAGAAUGCGUCCCUGCCCUUUGUACACACCGCCCGUCGCACCUACCGAUUGGACGAUCCGGCAAGAUGUUUGGAGUUGUUCUGAUUGUAGAGUAAUUUAUGAUGAAAAUGACAAAGCUCUUCAAACCUUAUCGUCUAGAGGAAGGUGAAGUCGUAACAAGGUCUCCGUAGGUGAACCUGCGGAGG